UUGCUUUGGCAGCACAUGUAAUAAAAUUGAAUCGAUACAGAGAAGCUUAGUAUGGUCCCUGCACAAGGAUGGCACACCAAUUCUUGAAGCAUUCCAUAUUAAA